rnacentral:rRNA from 1 species
UACGUAGGUGGCAAGCGUUGUCCGGAAUCACUGGGCGUAAAGCGCGCGCAGGCGGCGAUCUACGUCUGGGGUGAAAGCCCGGAGCUCAACUCCGGGACUGCCUUGGAUACGGGAUCGCUUGAGGAUUGGAGAGGCAAGGGGAAUUCCACGUGUAGCGGCGAAAUGCGUAGAUAUGUGGAGGAACACCUGUGGCGAAGGCGCCUUGCUGGCCAAUUUCUGACGCUGAGGCGCGAAAGCGUGGGGAGCAAACAGG